rnacentral:rRNA from 1 species
AUUGAACGCUGGCGGCAUGCUUUACACAUGCAAGUCGAACGGUAACAGGCCUUCGGGUUCUGACGCGUGGCGCACGGGUGCGUAAUGCAUCGGAACGUACCCAGAGGUGGGGGAUAACGCAGCGAGAGCAGUGCUAAUACCGCAUGUGAUCUGAGGAUGAAAGCGGGGGACCGAACAGCAAUCUUUGGCAUCGCGCCCUUGGAGCGGCCGAUUUCGGCUUAGCUAGUUGUUGGGGUAAAGGCCUACCAAGGCGACGAUCCGUAGCUGGUCUGAGAGGACGACCCGCCAUCCUGGUGUUGAGACACGCCCCGGACUCCCAAUUGAGUCAACGAUGCUGAAUGUUGGAGAACGGGCGCGACAAGGAUUCAGCAAAGCCGCAUGGGGGAAGAAGGCCUUCGGGUUGUAAAACGCUUUUGGCAGGAACGAAACGGUGUCCGCUAAUACCGGGCGCUAAUGACGGUACCUGCAGAAUAAGCACCGGCUAACUACGUG